GAGGAUGCGAGCGUUAUCCGGAUUUAUUGGGUUUAAAGGGUGCGUAGGCGGAAAGUUAAGUCAGCGGUAAAAUCGAGGGGCUCAACCCCUUCCCGCCGUUGAAACUGGUUUUCUUGAGUGGAAGAGAAGUAUGCGGAAUGCGUGGUGUAGCGGUGAAAUGCAUAGAUAUCACGCAGAACCCCGAUUGCGAAGGCAGCAUACCGGCUUCCAACUGACGCUGAAGCACGAAAGCGUGGGGAUCGAA
rnacentral:rRNA from 1 species